UUUAAAGUCUAGCCUGCCCAAUGAUAAAUUUAAUGGCCGCAGUAUUUUGACUGUGCAAAGGUAGCAUAAUCAUUAGUUUUUUAAUUGUAAACUGGAAUGAAUGGUUGGAUGAGAAAAUAACUGUCUCGAUUUUAUUUAAAUAGAAUUUUAUUUUUGAGUUAAAAAGCUUAAAUUAUAUAGAAAGACGAGAAGACCCUAUAGAGUUUAAUAUAAUUUACAUAUUUAUAUAAUAAGAAAUUUAAGUUUAUUUAUUUAAGUUUAUAUUUUAUUGGGGUGAUAGAAAAAUUUAAUAAACUUUUUAUGUUUAAUAACAUUAAUAAGUGAAUAAUUGAUCCUAUUUAAAGAUUAUAAGAUUAAAUUACCUUAGGGAUAACAGCGUUAUUUUUUUAGAGAGUUCUUAUCGAAAAAAAAGAUUGCGACCUCGAUGUUGGAUUAAAAUUAAAUUUAGGUGUAGAAGCUUAAAUUUUAGGUCUGUUCGACCUUUAAAUUUUUACA
rnacentral:rRNA from 1 species